UGUCACCGAUGGUAGCACCGACUGGGACCUCAUUAAUGGGGCUUUUAGCAUCUCGGUGACGUGUGCGCGAAUAAAUUGCCUCCUACUCACGCCGUGUUAGAGCGAAACAAACUUUAUGCUUACAAUAUACGGUGCAGUUUAGUGCUGCGAUAGGAAAUGUUUCGCUGCUUUGGUAUUUUGAUUUUUUAUUGCUUUCGCCCCUGCCUUGGACCACAGCGACGGCACAUAUUUCACACGCGCGCCGACGACCGCUCUACAUAAGGUCUCACAAUUUAUGCCAAAUGUAAAUGCUUUCGGACGACUUUUUAAAAGUUAUGACGUUAUUUCCGGCCGUUUCUUCACGUGGCUAGAUACACUGGAAAUGGGGGGCAUCCCACCAGCUUGUUUGGCAAAUUUAUUGCUCGUGUUACAUUUUAUGUAGAUUUGUGUGAAGUCUUAAAUAGGAUAAGCUAUGUUUUCUAGCAUAAGGUUAUGGUGUAUGGUCUAACCAUACUUGAAAUAAAAUUAUUUUUUCGGAUGUUA